AGGGUUCGAUUCUGGCUCAGGAUGAACGCUGGCGGCGUGCUUAACACAUGCAAGUCGAACGGGAUCCCAGGAGCUUGCUCCUGGGUGAGAGUGGCGAACGGGUGAGUAAUGCGUGACCGACCUGCCCCAUACACCGGAAUAGCUCCUGGAAACGGGUGGUAAUGCCGGAUGCUCCAGUUGACCGCAUGGUCCUCUGGGAAAGCUUUUGCGGUAUGGGAUGGGGUCGCGUCCUAUCAGCUUGAUGGCGGGGUAACGGCCCACCAUGGCUUCGACGGGUAGCCGGCCUGAGAGGGCGACCGGCCACAUUGGGACUGAGAUACGGCCCAGACUCCUACGGGAGGCAGCAGUGGGGAAUAUUGCACAAUGGGCGCAAGCCUGAUGCAGCGACGCCGCGUGCGGGAUGACGGCCUUCGGGUUGUAAACCGCUUUUGACUGGGAGCAAGCCCUUCGGGGUGAGUGUACCUUUCGAAUAAGCACCGGCUAACUACGUGCCAGCAGCCGCGGUAAUACGUAGGGUGCAAGCGUUAUCCGGAAUUAUUGGGCGUAAAGGGCUCGUAGGCGGUUCGUCGCGUCCGGUGUGAAAGUCCAUCGCUUAACGGUGGAUCCGCGCCGGGUACGGGCGGGCUUGAGUGCGGUAGGGGAGACUGGAAUUCCCGGUGUAACGGUGGAAUGUGUAGAUAUCGGGAAGAACACCAAUGGCGAAGGCAGGUCUCUGGGCCGUCACUGACGCUGAGGAGCGAAAGCGUGGGGAGCGAACAGGAUUAGAUACCCUGGUAGUCCACGCCGUAAACGGUGGAUGCUGGAUGUGGGGACCAUUCCACGGUCUCCGUGUCGGAGCCAACGCGUUAAGCAUCCCGCCUGGGGAGUACGGCCGCAAGGCUAAAACUCAAAGAAAUUGACGGGGGCCCGCACAAGCGGCGGAGCAUGCGGAUUAAUUCGAUGCAACGCGAAGAACCUUACCUGGGCUUGACAUGUUCCCGACAGCCGUAGAGAUACGGUCUCCCUUCGGGGCGGGUUCACAGGUGGUGCAUGGUCGUCGUCAGCUCGUGUCGUGAGAUGUUGGGUUAAGUCCCGCAACGAGCGCAACCCU
rnacentral:rRNA from 1 species